CCGCCGACUUCGGCGGCGGCGAAGCAACAGCGACGGAUUGUUCAGUUUGUCUUGAAAUCGCGACUCGAACGGUCAUGGUGUGCGGAGGUUGAGCGGGAAAGUGGAAGAGUGCAAAAGCGGAAAAGCGCCGUUAAAAACCCAGUUGAAAACUCGUGCGAAUUGCAAGCAGUGCGAAGAAACAAACAAGAAGAAUAAAAGCGAAUUAGCUCAAAAACAGAGGUUUCAGUGACAAGUGUGCAACGAAACUCGACAGCAGUGAGGCUUUUCCCGAACUCCGAGCCGAACCAACGCUGCCAAGACGAGCGAACCCCAAAGCGAGUGUGUUUAUUUAACACACUUCCUCGUUGCGAAAGCCUUCAGUUCGUGUCUGCUGCUCGCGAAGUGCGCGCCACAGUGAAGAGGGAAAGCGGAAACGGAAACGAAAACGGAAAGGAAAACGAGUGCGUCGCAAGCGAUAGCGGAAACGGAAGCGAAGGAAUGAACAUGUGUGUGUGACGGGACGAUCUCUCUGCUCACCGAAUCCAGAAUAGAUCGCAGCCAAUGUCGCUCAGUGCCCAGUUAAAGAUUGCUCAAUCAGUUAGCAAAGUGACAACCGCGAAAGUCAGUGACUCAAACUGCAGCGCUAAAAUACAAAAAUACUCUAUUGCCGACUUUAGCCAGGCCAAAAGGCAGGCAGGCAGCAUGUGUGCCACGGGGAAAGGUAACCACAGGCUCUGCAGCCUCAGUGCCCUGCUCCUCGUCCUGGUCGCCCAAACCGUACACGUGGAAUACGCCCGGGCGGAUUAUGAGAACACCUGGAAUCUAUAUUACGAGCCGCCCUGCUGCACGGGCUCAUCUGCUGCCCAUCAUCUGCGCCACCACAAAGAACAUGUGCAGGACUUCAGUUGCGGGCCGCUGCACUACAAGACUUUCUACAUGGAUGAGCACAACAAUGCGCUAUAUGUGGGCGCCAUGGAUCGCAUAUUUCGGCUCAAUCUGCGCAACAUCAGCCAAUCGAUUUGUGAGCGCGAUGUACUCAUAUUGGAGCCCACCGGAUCGGAUAUCCUGAAUUGUGUGUCCAAGGGAAAACGGGAGAAGGUGGAAUGCCGAAAUCACAUAAGGGUCAUCCAGCCGAUGAACUUCAAUGGCCAGAAGCUAUAUGUUUGCGGGACCAACGCCCACAAUCCCAAGGAUUACGUAAUAAACGCAAACUUAACACAUUUACCCAGAUCCCAGUACGUGCCCGGCAUUGGCCUGGGCAUUGGCAAGUGUCCCUACGAUCCUGCUGACAACUCAACCGCCGUCUAUGUGGAGAACGGAAAUCCCUUCGGCCUGCCCGCCCUGUACGCCGGCACGAAUGCAGAGUUCACCAAGGCGGAUUCCGUCAUAUUCCGAUCGGACCUGUACAACCUGACGGAUGGCGGCAAGUUGGCCAACUUCAAGAGAACCGUGAAAUACGACUCCAAGCUGCUGGACAAACCCAACUUCGUGGGCUCCUUUGAGAUUGGUGAAUUUGUGUACUUCUUCUUCCGCGAACAUGCCGUGGAGUACAUAAAUUGCGGAAAAGCUGUCUACUCCCGAGUGGCUCGGGUGUGCAAGAGCGACCGCGGUGGAAAGUACUUGAUCAACCAGAAUUGGGCCACGUAUCUGAAGGCGCGGAUGAACUGCAGCAUCUCCAGCGAGUUUCCCUUCUACUUCAACGAGAUACAGUCGGUCUACAAGAUGCCAAAGGACGAUACCAAGUUCUAUGCCACGUUUACAACGAAUACGAAUGGUCUGAUUGGAUCGGCUGUGUGCAGCUACGACAUCCGGGACAUCAAUGCGGCCUUCGACGGCAAAUUCAAGGAGCAGGCCACCUCGAACAGCGCCUGGCUGCCCGUGCUGAACUCCAAAGUGCCGGAGCCACGUCCUGGCACUUGCCACAACGACACCGGCACGCUGCCGGACUCCGUGCUGAAUUUCAUUCGCAAACAUCCGCUAAUGGACAAGGCGGUCGAUCAUGAAUUUGGCAAUCCGGUCUUCUUCAAGCGGGACGUCAUACUCACCAAGCUGGUGGUGGACAAGAUACGGAUCGACAAGCUGAACCAGGAGUUCCUAGUGUACUUUGUGGCCACGACGUCUGGUCACAUCUACAAGAUAGUGCAGUUCAUGCACUACGGCCAGCGGCACUCGAACCUGGUGGACAUAUUCGAGGCCUCGCCGCACAACGAGCCCAUCCGGGAGAUGACCCUCAGCCAGAAGACAGGAUCCCUGUACGUGGCCACCGAUCACCAGGUGAAGCAGAUCGACAUUGCCAUGUGCGCCCGCCGCUACGACAGCUGCUUCCGCUGCGUCUCGGAUCCCUACUGCGGCUGGGACAAGGACGUCAAUGCCUGCCGACCCUACCAGCUGGGUCUGCUGCAGGAUGUGGCCAACGAGACGUCCGGGAUCUGCGACACCAGUGUGCUGCGCAAGAAGGUCACCUCCUCCUACGGCCAAACCCUGCACCUCUCCUGCUUUGUCAAAAUGCCGGAAGUGCUGAGGAAGAAGCAGACGCGCUGGUACCACCACUCCACCGAAAAAGGACGCUACGAGGUCCGCUACACCCCCACCAAAUACAUCGACACCAACGAGGGCGGCCUGGUCCUCCUGGCGGUGAACGAGGGCGACGGCGGCCGCUACGACAGCUACUUGGACGGCACCCUGCUCUGCAGCUACGGCGUCACCGUGGACGCCCACAGAUGCUCGCCGCCGUCGCAGAAGCAGGACUACCAGAAAAUCUACUCGCACUGGUGCAACGAGUUCGAGAAAUACAAAUCGGCCAUGAAGCAGUGGCAGGCCAAACAGGAGCAAUGCGGCCUCAAGGACAAAACAGGACCAAUCAGCAGCAAUGGAAAGCAUGUGAAUGAUGUGUUCAGCAACGAUGCUUUGGUCUGACCCAGAAAGUACUUGUACAGCUUUGAGUUCUUGUCGUCGGCGACGGAGGGCGUGGCCACCGCCCACCGCAAAUUGUACAUUUUCGUGUUCGUGCUUACCAUAUUUGCUCGCUUCUAAAGUUUCUAGUUAAAAUGUAAAUGCGCAGAAAAGCAGUAAGCACCCGAGGAAAAUGCGAAGAACAAGUAUGAAAAUGGGACAAGAGCCGAGCUAAGGAAAAGCGAUGAGUAAAGAAAAUGAUUAUAGAAAGGAAAAACAACCACUACAAAGACUGAAAUUUUUAAGCUUUUAAAAUCGACAAUAUUUCUGAUAAUUUCGAUGCGUUUUUUGGUCAUGCUUUCGUUUCGUUUUGAGAUGUUGUCAGCGUCAAACUGAAUAAUUUUCGACAUUAACUAACUGAUAUACAAAGAUGGAGUAAACGAGAAAAGUUACUAGCAAAAGGAUCCUGCCAUAAGUCAAAGGGAAAUUACGGUUUUACACUCACACAAAGACACACCUACAGAAGAAACUAUUUCUAUUUCGAGCUAAGGUUAAGGUAAUCUAACGAUACGCAUACAGAUAUGGAUAUGGAAAAAGCUACAGAAACCGAAACAGAGACAGAUACAGAUUAUGAUUGAGAUACAGAUACAGAUACAGAUGGAACUGCAACCACCUAAGUGAGAAUCUGACCUAAGGCAAUGUAUUUACCAAGCUCGUGAGGCGCAACGAUUCGAUUAUGUUUUCCAUUUGGUUCAGUUUCCGGCAACUCGUCGCUUGGCCAUUUCGGGUUUGGGGUUGGGAAGAUCUUAAACGAAUUUGUAUAUUACUUAGCCAUAUUUGUUCGACUAAACUAGCGUAAGAUAUAUACACGAUUAGCAGUCCCUGUUUAGGUCAUAGACAAGUACCGAACCAACCUAAUACGAUAGCCAAACCCAGAAACCGAAAUAAAGUUUCGGAAAAACAAUUGACGCACAGCAUGAACGUCUAUAUGGAUAUGGACGUACAUAUAUAGCUUAGGGCGACUUGUACAUAGAAGAGCUUUAGACGAUAAGUAUGAACCAGCUUAGGUUUGAUUUUUACUCGGCUCCGAUUAUGAUUUGAAGUUCUCUAUUCGGCAUUAACUCGCUCUUGUAUAGAUUGUGCGUUGGCCUAAUGUUUACGAUAAGCAAUACAUAGUUAUAUAUGCAUAUGCGUAAUUAUAAAUAAAUAUAGACACAUGAAGUUACUGCAUUGAGACCAACAUGCUCAUGGUUACUUACCCGUACUUAUCGUAGGUAAGUUGGUGUGGCAAUUACUUUUUUUUUAGUAAUAUUGCAGAAAUUCAUUCUCACCAAAACAAAACAA